UACGGAGGGUGCGAGCGUUGUCCGGAAUCAUCUGGGCGUAAAGGGCGCGUAGGCGGCGCGAAAGUCAACGUGAAAGCUUGGGGCUCAACCCCGAGUCGGCGUCGAUACUUCCGUGCUCGAGCACUGUAGAGGCAGGUGGAAUUCCGGUGUAGCGGUGGAAAUGCGUAGAGAUCCGGAAGAACACCGGUGGCGAAGGCGGCCUGACUGGGCAGUGCU
rnacentral:rRNA from 1 species